rnacentral:rRNA from 1 species
ACUCCUACGGGAGGCAGCAGUGGGGGAAUAUUGCACAAUGGGCGCAAGCCUGAUGCAGCCAUGCCGCGUGUAUGAAGAAGGCCUUCGGGUUGUAAAGUACUUUCAGCAGUGAGGAAGGUGGAUAUGUUAAUAGCAUAUUCAUUUGACGUUAGCUGCAGAAGAAGCACCGGCUAACUCCGUGCCAGCAGCCGCGGUAAUACGGAGGGUGCGAGCGUUAAUCGGAAUUACUGGGCGUAAAGCGCAUGCAGGUGGUUUGUUAAGUCAGAUGUGAAAGCCCGGGGCUCAACCUCGGAAUUGCAUUUGAAACUGGCAAACUAGAGUACUGUAGAGGGGGGUAGAAUUUCAGGUGUAGCGGUGAAAUGCGUAGAGAUCUGAAGGAUACCGGUGGCGAAGGCGGCCCCCUGGACAGAUACUGACACUCAGAUGCGAAAGCGUGGGGAGCAAACAGGAUUAGAUACCCUGGUAGGACGUCUGC